UACAGAGGGUGCAAGCGUUGUUCGGAAUUAUUGGGCGUAAAGGGUGCGUAGGCGGCGCGGUAAGUCGGGUGUGAAAUCUCGGGGCUUAACUCCGAAACUGCAUUCGAUACUGCCGUGCUUGAGGACUGGAGAGGAGACUGGAAUUUACGGUGUAGCGGUGAAAUGCGUAGAUAUCGUAAGGAAGACCAGUGGCGAAGGCGGGUCUCUGGACAGUUCCUGACGCUGAGGCACGAAGGCCAGGGGGAGCAAAACGGGG
rnacentral:rRNA from 1 species